CACCAGAAAGAAAGACAAGCAGCUCUUCCUGCAGCUUCAUGCAUGGACCCUCUCUUUCCGGAGCCACCUAUAAAAAGGUGCCACAACAGGAAGGUUCAGAGCCAGCAGGAAUUUGGCUGCCUGCACAGAGCACCAACUUGUUUCCACACAGAAGUGGCUCCAAGAUCACCGCAGAUGGGGACUGCAGCCAAGAAAUUAAAAGAUGCUUGCUCCUGGGGAGGAAAGCUAUGGCAAAUCUAGACAGCAUACUAAAAAGCAGAGACAUCACCCUGCCAACAAAAGUGUUUCCCAGGAAUUCAGCCUAUCAUCCUUCUUUUCGAAUCCAGGAUGCCCUGUCUCUUUUGCCCGCAUCAGAAUGAGAAAGAUGGAUCAACAUUAGUUUUGGAACAUAGCAGAACAGCUCUCGCUGCCAUAUGCAGGGUGAGCUACCACUGACUCCAGUGCCCUCUUGUGGCAUACAUUAUUUGGCUCCUAUUCUUUUUGUAGUAAAAAAGGGGAAAUCAAUUAUUCUAAAGCUAAAAAACCUGUACUAGGCCCGGAUCUUAGUCUAUUGCCAGCGUGUUUAAAUCAUUUAGCCUUGCCCUGUAAAUCUAAUGAGAUACAUCAAAGCUGUUAACAUUCACAUUCAAGUACACUUACGGAAAAUUCAUCAGACUUUGGGCAUGAUCCAAAAUGUAUAUCUCCUGUGCCAGAACUAAAUGAUGGUGGAGGUCGGAAUAAACGGGGCGGUCAGGUUCAUGUCUGUUCUGUGGCCGAUAGAAAGAAGUUCAGCUGCCAGAGAGAAUUCUUUAGCAAUUCUUUAAAAAAUGGUCUAUUUUACAGAGUUGUCUUGUGUGUGAUCACAAUAUCAUCAAGACCGUUGUUUAUUUAAACCUUUAAAUCGAAACAAUUUAAAAUUAUUGUGCAACUGAUCAGUCGUAAUAACUGCAGCCUUGAGAUAGAAAAUCUGAAAGUUAUAAUUUUCUAUUCUAUGGGCCAGGUUUAAUUUGAAUAGAUUUAAGUUACAGGAAUGUACGGAAUAACAGAAUUAGGGAAUAACAGAGUUGGAAGGGACCUUGGAGGUCUUCUAGUCCAACCCUCUGCUCAGUCAGAAAACCCUAUACCAUUUCAGACAAGGGACAAGGAGCUGUCCAGGCUCUUCUUAAAAGCUUCCAGUGAUGGAACACCCACAACUUCUGAAGGCAAGCCAUUCCACUGGUUUACUGUUCUCACUGUCAUGAAAUUUCUCCUUCGUUCUAGGUUGCUACAAAGGAACAUUUUAAGAAACAUCCUGUUAGCAAUAGCAGCUCAGCAAUAGAAGGAUUAUAGGGUUCCCAUCAUUGGAUAUCUUCUAGAAAAUAUUGGAUUUCCUGCACUGAGAAAAAUCCUUUGGAUUUUUGGAGGAGAAAGGAUGAGUGCUGCAUUAGAUGGGCACCAUGCAAAGUCCCCUCAAACUCUUCAAUUCAAAGUUACCAAUCCACAGAUGACACUAAAAACUAAUUUACUAUUCAUCCUUUCAAUUCACUGUUUUCUCAUUCAUUCAUUCAAUCAUUCAUUGCAUUGAUCUUUGUGCUCUAAUAGUCAAGCUUCCUGCAUAUAAUACCCAGUGCUGCUCCUAAUCUCCACUAGAACAUUUACAAUGAUGCAAUCUUCCUUUCCUCAAAAUCUCUUUCAAACCAUUCACUUUUCUCCAAACUGCUUGGCUCACAUUCUUAGUUGCCUUUGCCAGCCAGUGAAAACUAGGCAGAUAUCAUUGCAUUAUUUAUUUCUACAUGCUCCUUGUAAUUCUUGCCUCAUCUGCUUCCCAUUCUUUCCCACCUGAUACAUUAUAGAUUGUAAAAUUCUGGAGGAAAAGAUUGGCUCUUGCUUUACCACUUCUAUUCCACCAGAAGUUGUUGUUGUUUUUUUAUUCCCCAAUCUCUCCAAAAUAGAGAUUAUUGGAAAUUAAUUCCGAUUUAUAAUUGAGGGGAUCCUUGGUGCUCUCUGAGCUUGGUUAUUUUCUUGUGGAUGUUUCAUUACCCAAACUAGGUAACAUAAUCUGUGUUAGCACUGAUGAUGUUAUCUAGUUUGGGUAAUCAAAUGUCUGCAAGAAAACAACCCAGCUCAGAGAGCCCUAAGGACUUCUCAUUUCAACCCUGAGCUACAAAUAUUCUCCUUUAUUGAAUUAUACCUGUCUUCAUUGCUGCUUCUUGUCUUGAAAAGCACAGAAUGUGUAAGACCAUCCUGGGCCAAGCAGGAUGCCAUUCAGCUAACCAGUAAAAGAGUGUAAAAAUGUCAUUCAAUCAUUGCUCAGCCCCCUAAAACUCUUGGGAGCCUUGAAUAAAAGCCACCUCUUCCACUCGAUGCAAAAUAAAAAUAAAAAUAAAAAUAAAAAAUGCUCCCGCCACCCCCUCAAACUAUUCUGACAGAAAAUUAAACAAAAGAUUGCACCUGUGCGUGUUAGCAUUUAUUUAUUGAAUAUCUAUCCUACUACAAAUCUCAUAACUCUCAGCACUGUACAAGA